UUGGAGGGCAGUCUGGUGCCAGCAGCCGCGGUAAUUCCAGCUCCAAUAGCGUAUACUAAAGUUGUUGCAGUUAAAAAGCUCGUAGUUGAACUUCGGGGUCUACCCAUUGGUCAGGCUUAAUUGUCUGUACUGGUGAGAUGGAUCUCUGCCUUCUGAGGAACUUUCAUGCCAUUUAUUUGGUGUGAUGGGAAAUCAGGACUGUUACUUUGAAAAAAUUAGGGUGUUUAAAGCAGACUAUCGUCUGAAUACAUUAGCAUGGAAUAAUGAAAUAGGACGGACUGAUUCUAUUUCGUUGGUUUCUAGGAUCACCGUAAUGAUUAAUAGGGAUAGUUGGGGGCAUUAGUAUUCAAUUGUCAGAGGUGAAAUUCUUGGAUUUAUUGAAGACUAACUACUGCGAAAGCAUUUGCCAAGGAUGUUUUCAUUAAUCAAGAACGAAAGUUAGGGGAUCGAAGACGAUCAGAUACCGUCGUAGUCUUAACCAUAAACUAUGCCGACUAGGGAUCGGACGAAGUUAAUUUUAUAAUGACGCGUUCGGCGCCUUACGGGAAAC
rnacentral:rRNA from 1 species